rnacentral:rRNA from 1 species
CCUACGGGUGGCAGCAGUGGGGAAUAUUGCACAAUGGGGGAAAUCCUGAUGCAGCGACGCCGCGUGGGCGAGGAAGUACCUCGGUAUGUAAAGCCCUAUCAGCCGGGAAGAAACAGGACAGUACCUGACUAAGAAGCCCCGGCUAACUACGUGCCAGCAGCCGCGGUAAUACGUAGGGGGCAAGCGUUAUCCGGAUGUACUGGGCGUAAAGGGAGCGCAGGCGGCAUGGCAUGUCUGAUGUGAAAACCCGGGACCCAACCCCGGGAGUGCAUUGGAAACUGCCAGGCUGGAGUGUCGGAGGGGUAAGCGGAAUGCCUAGUGUAGCGGUGAAAUGCGUAGAUAUUAGGAGGAACACCAGUGGCGAAGGCGGCUUACUGGACGACUACUGACGCUGAGGCUCGAAAGCGUGGGGAGCAAACAGGAUUAGAUACCCUUGUAGUC